rnacentral:lncRNA from 1 species
ACCUCUCUCCUCUUUCUCUCUCGCUCCCUUCGUCUCUGCAACUGAACAGUGAAAAUUCACAUUGUGGAUCCGCUAACAGGCACAGAUGUCAUGUGAAAACGCACAUGCUCUGCAAUCCAUGCCGCCUUUCUUUCUUUUCUGUUUCCUUUUUUUCCCCCUUGAUAAUUCUCCCUCUUCUUUGUAACUAACAAAACCACCACCAACUCCUCCUCCUGCCGCUGCCCUCCUCCUCCUCCUCAGUCUAAGUGAUCACAAAAGAAAUCUCCGAGCCCCGAGGCGGUGGCAUUUUUUUUUUUUAAAGCAAGCACAUUGGAGAGAAAGAAAAAAAGAAACAAACAAACAAACAAAAGCAAAACAAAACCCAGGCACCAGCAGCUAGGACAUUUUUUUUCCACUCUGCCUGAAAACAAACAAACAGCCAUCAGAAACAGUCAUCAGCAACAGCAUCAAAACUGUUAGCUUAGCGGCGGCGGCCACCGUCACCCUGUGGCCACGACAUCUGCCUAAAGGGAUGCUUCUCUCAGCGGAGCAGCUCUUCGCCGACCGCCUUCUUCCCUCGUGCUGAGCGGAAUUUUUGGGUUCUCUGGGGUUCGGGCUGGGAGCUUCAUGACUACGCGGAGCAGGACAGCGGCCACAUCAUGCGAGGUAAGCGAGCCCGCGGGCGGGCGCCCAGAGCAGGACAACUCUAGCUAGACCGGGAGCUUUGGGGGAGGGGAGAGCUCUCGGCCCAAGGGAAGAGAGAUUGGCUACUCGAGGCUCCCCGAGUUCGGUUCGCAGGUGGGACUGCAAAUGGCCUGGGCUUGGAAAGUUGUGGGAAGGUGUGGAAGGCUCGGGGAUUUUGGCAGGACGCUGAAGGGCGCAUUUUUUGGAGACCAGGACAGUGCUAAUCGCGCCUCCCAGUUCUGGAUUUGAAUCUUUUCUGCGCGUCGCUCUCCGGUGCGCCACAGGACACGGGAUAGAGAGCAGGAAGUCGGGUGACUUUGGGUAGAAGAGGCUGGCAGCUCGCAUCCCGCCGUGGUCGCUAGCCAUAGGUGAACUCCCUGGCAUAAGUGGGGAUCACACUGGCCCAGGCUGCCAGAUGCAGGAGCAGUCUAUAAGCGCGUCUCUUUCUAGAAAUAGUAAACACGGUAUGCUCCCGAGAACCGGGAAGCAGAUGCUUACGUCUGGACCUUCCUUGGGUCCCCUCUUCCCCGUUCUGCUUCACUCUGGAUAGGCCGACCCCCCUCUCGCCCUAACACUCCCCCCCCCAAAAAAAAAGUUGGUAGGAGAAAGUUCUGGAGAGUGAAGGCCAUACUACUCACAUCGGAGAAAACAGGGUCUCAAGCUCUUUUGUGGGAUAAAGGACCAAAAUAGAAGCUAAUACUAAGUGCACCUUCUGGAUAGAACCACCACUGUCAAUGUUGGUGCUAUCUCAGGGACAAGUGGCCCUCAGGGAAGACAGAGCUCAGUCUCCUGCUCUGACUCCAAAACUGGGAGCUACCUGAGCAGCUGGCCAGAGGGCAUGAGGAGUCAGUUUGUAGAUCUCAGUGGUACAAGUUUCUUGCUUUCUCACUUUACAGUGGGGCACAAUUUCUUCUUUUCUUAAAGAGGCCACCACCGGGUGCCCUCCUAACUUGGACAUCUGAGUAUGUCUGGACACCCAGCCCCUAAAUCCAAGCUUCUCUUCUUUGAUGUAUUGCGUUCCUAUGGUGGCUUUUCUCUCUGAUUCACAAGUUCCUCCGGAGCAAAAAUAAGCAAGCGACAGUCAACUCUGAACCUUCUUGCAUCUUGGACGGAAGUGCUUUUGAGCAGGACACUGUUUAGAACAGGGCCCAAAAAUACCCAUCUCCAUCUACCGGGCUGCCUACUCUGGUGCACUUAGGGAGGAGUGGGCAUGACCCUCACCCUGGUCGUUAUUGAGGAGCCCUAGGCCUGUCUUGACCUUGAAAGCACAGCGUGAGCCCUGGUGUUUGUAGAACAAGGCAGGACAAAAAAGGAUGGAGAAAAGCUGAUCAUUACCCAUGGGGAUGGAGGAAUAAGUCUCUAGAUAAAGGACAAAGGUGUCUGGGUGAGUGUCUUGAUUGACCUGCGAGCACUGGAAGUUAGAAUCUCUGUGUGCUUGUGCACAGUGACAACAGCUGAUUGUCCCAGUCACGGGAUCGUCACAUGCUCCACUAUCCAGAUUCUUUCCAGAAACUGUAGUACAGAAACUGGUGGGCAGAGCGCCUUUCCUUAGCGAGAACUUGGAUUUUCUUGUUUCUCUUUUUCUGACUCACCUCAGGAUCUCACACACUUUCCUUUCCUUUCGGUUUCCUUCACUUCCAUCUGAAGCUGCCAGUUAGCAGUUUGACUUUUUCUUCUCCCCCACCCUCCAGCAAUACCCCUCCCAUGACUAAGUUCAAGCUAUCUGAGGGUCAGAAGCCACGUGCCACAGCAGUUGGUCCCCUGCACUAAAGGCUGGAGCUGCUUAAGCUCUUAAGCUACAGUGUCAAGCAGAGCGCAGCUUCCCAGCGCUUCACCUUGAUCUUGCUGUUCCUGUGGCUUUACUGCCGGUCUCCCCUUAGAGACACCUGGCUGCAGCCAGCUUGAAGGAUUUAAGACAAGGACUAGUGCCCUGUUUAUAUUAAAUUAGAUAUUCACAUGAACCCACAUCUUUGUCUCAGAGAACACCAAGCUCACCAGACUGCCCAGGACAGUUCACCAGCUCUAACCCAAGAUGACUCUCCGGAGGUGACUGGAGGAAACUACUGGUAGAGAAGUCAUUGGUCUCUAGCCCUUUGCCUCUCCUCUCCUGACCUCACACUGUCCCAUUCGCUUUCUCUGCAGUCAAAGAAUUAUCCUAUCCCAACCUAAGUGGCUGGCUGUUCCUUAAAGAUGAAAUAAGAAGUCCCUUCAAGGUUCAGUGGCCGGUAUUCCACAGGGAAAGGAUAUAGGGUGCAAGAAGAGCCAAGCUAUCCAGAAGUCAUCUAAUAGUUGAACUUGAACUUCAAUUAAGAGGUGGUGGGGGUGGGGAGCAUCAAAUUCUCUAUCCCUUUGUGCGGGGGCUGUUAAGCUGAGCAUAUUGGAACUGAUUCUGCUAGGGGAGGAGCUGGUAUUAAACUUGGCUUUGCCCUUUGCUUGUAAGCAUGUCAUCUACUCCAUACACCAUGCCCUGCCCUGCCAUUUCUCACACUGUCUCCACUUCCAUGUGGUCCUGUCAGAACUUUGGCUCCGACGUUUGCUUCUGGCAAUGGCAACUGUCCUAAGUCAGGUCAACUUGCCAGACACAAACCGUGUCUAGGAUUGAGCAGUCUCCCUGUGGACUAAUCCAACAAACUACCCCCAGGACAGACUAUGCCACCCAAUAAUGCCUCUGCUUGGGGUAUUUGAGAGACUAUUUCUGGGGAAGCUCUAGGGUAAAAGGGAUGUUAAGAAGCUCUGAUACUUGGGUUCAUUGCUCCGUCCUGAAGCUGAAUCUUCCUAGAGAAGAUCCAAGUUUCAGCCACAGCCCCUCUCCACUAAAGUGGGGGAGGCUGCAGCUUGCUGACCCACAAAACUUUGCUUCCUUUGUCUGGCAUGUGAGUGUGUGUGUGUGUGUGUGUGUGUGUGUGUGUGUGUGUGUGUGUGUGUGUGUGUAGAGGGGUGGUCCUUUGGAGUUUUAAGGAUGCUUCUUCUCUUGCUUCCUAAAAGGAAACAGCUGGAAAGGGAAAAAGUAGGUAGGAGAGGAGUAAGCCAGCCCGGUAUGGUUUUUCAAGGCUCCCUGUUGAGUAGUCUGUCUUGUUUAUUACAAAGGAAACAUAAAUGGUGGCUUUUCUCUCUGGUGUCUGCAUAAAAUCCCACUUUUCCAAACAGGAGCACUGUUGCCUUUGCAAUCAGUAGGUGACUGCAGCUUGGGAGGAUUUAUCUCUGGUUUUAUUCUUGUGGUAAAUAAGGAGAAAUGAUGGCUUUUAAAACAAAACAAAACAAAACAAAAAGUCUGCAUUCUGUCAUUUACAGGUAGUACAUUUCUGUUGCCUACUAAAG